GUGAAGCUCUCACUUUGGUCCUCCCAUUAAUUAUUGUUAAUGAUAGGAUAGUUAGGAGCGGGGGCUGAAUUCCCAGGGCAUCGCCAGACAUUUCAAUAGAUCAAAACGGUCCAAAGCAUAGGAAAUUCCAUAUCAGCACUGUUGGUGAGGAUCCCGGGAGACAAAUAAUUGCAUCGAAAGGGCUGAGAACGAGAGGCCGGGAACCAGGCUUGAGACAGAUGGACGAACCACACUUUGAGGAGCGGGAAUGUUAAAAGCUAAGCCCAUGGGCUGAAAAUAUCGGUUCUUCCUCAUCUUCUGGAGAUCCUGUGCGGGCUCUCCAUGUCAGCCGGGCACCUUGCCAUCUCACUAGAAGACUUCUCAGCCCUCCUCAAAGCUUGGUGUAGCCUGAAGGAUAGCUGAUAAAAUCUGCAGGGUAUUCAAAGAAAAGAUGCUGACCUGAUUGUGGUGGGUUGAAUGGCGAACUUCAGGAACGUAAGUCCACAUCUCCUUCCAUAGCACUUGUGAAUGUGGGCUCUUGGAUAUUAAUUUACACAUCUGGAGAUUAUCCUGGAUUGUCUGGGUGGGGCCUAAACUCAAUGACAAGAGUCCUUAUAAAAGGCAGAAGAAGGGAGGCUGUGUGAAGAAGGAGACAGGAGCCCUUGUUGCCUUUGCUACUUCAUGUGUGCCACGUUGUUUCUUCUCUGAGCCAGCCAAAUAGGACUGAAACCUCUAUGAACUCUACCCUGCCUUGGAGCCAGGUGAUUAUGGACUGAAACCUCUACAAACUGAAGGUUAUGCAUGUAAGAACUUUAAUGUUUUUAAAGAGGAAGGACUAACAAGAAGGACUCACCAGUGCUCAAUUCCCAGCUGGUUGUGUGGGAACAUGAGGAAAGAUGAGCUUGCCCACCUUGGCUACAGAGAGUCAGAGAAAGACUGGAGCAGGAAAGAAGCUGGUAGGAAGCAACUUCUGGUUGAAAAGAGAUUGGAGACAGCUCCCACAGCUGCGCACCACAUCCCCACACAGGGUCAUCGGCAGCCUCAGUGGUGUGACACUGGGAGUGAGGAGGCAGAACAGUAGCAGGUCCCCAGGGUGCUGCGCUCCUGGUUCUCCAUGUCCUUUGUGUGCCACGGUGCUCCACAGAUCUCCACGGGGCUCUGGUUGGCCUUGGAGGCUGGAGAAGAAGGAAACAACUCUGGGAAGUCUGAACAUCUGCUAAAAUCAUGAUGGUUGGGGAUGAGCUCAUAGCAGGUAGGUCAGCGGACUGCUCAGCACAGCUAUCAUCAGCCAGAUUCACUACUGUUGCCCCGCUGAGAAUUGCUAAUGUGUCCCAGUGGGCGUGAGAUUUGGGAGCCAGCCAAAGAGCUGUUUCCCUCCAGUCUUGGGGUGGGAGUGGAAAUGAGGAUAGGGAGAAAUUGGAAUAGUGAUUUCUGGAACUUUGAGUUGCUUACACCACAGUGUGAAAAAUAAAGCAAACCAAUCAACCAGCAGGCACCAAUAAUGGCAUCAAGCAUUCUCUCUGAUUUCCCAGGGGCAGGACUCCUGCAUCUUGAGGCAGGUCAUCAAACCCAGAUUCUGUAUCUGUGUUUGCUCAGUUUUUCUGAAACUAUGCCCAGGAAGUAUGCAGGGGUCAUGUGACCUGACUUAUCACGAUGUUAACCAAUGUUUUCUUUGAUUCACAGAUUAAUAAACAAUAAUAAUAAGAGGAAAGUGUAGGAAUCAAAUGGAUGUCAUGGCUAGAACUUUGUCAAUAUUAUUUUCAUCUCCAAUAAUUUACUUAAAUGUUUCAAGUCAUGUCUUCUACAUUUAUGACACACUACUCCUUGCCAAGCAGAAGGCUAGGUUUGCAAGAUGUGAAUGAGUCCUACAUUACCCUGUCCUUGAUGAUCUUCCAAUCCAGUAGGGCAGACAGACACAUGUUUUCCAGUUUUUGUGAUGGUGUUUAAUAACCAUAUGGAAAAUGUAUCAUCUUUGGAAUUGGGCUUAAAUCUCAGCUCUGAGCAGGGUGAAUUUUCCAGUCUCAGCUUCUUCACCCACACUACAAGGUAAGGACACCAUGCAGGAUUGUUAGAGAGAUAACGUGUGGGAAGAGCCAGCACCUCCCUGCUGGUGAGUGGGACCUUUGCCACAUCUCAGGGAGGCAGUGCUGGAGAAUAUUUUUAGAUACUCGAGAGAUGGGGAACAAAUUUUCUGGUGACAAAAUAAUCAUGACUAGAAACAAAUAGGGGCUCAAAUGUUAAUAAUUUUGUUAAGACUUGUUCUGAGCUGAGGUAUUACGUGCUGCUAUCCAGUACUGGUAGAGACUGGGGAAUUUACCAACUUUCAACAAAGUUCUCCAAAUCGUUAUCUGCGGUCAUUGGUGCAUCAUUAUUUUGUCCUAAUAACAACUUCUCCUGUGUGUAUUUUUCCUAUGAUACUAUAAAAUAAUUAAUAAAAUUCUUCAGAAAUCAUCCAGUGUUGUCUCCUGCAUUUUGGAGUUGAGAAAUGGGAGUCCUCAGCUCUCUUAAGUUACUGGCAGGUCUGGGGAACACAGAUGCACUCAGCUGAGAGAUCUAUUCUUUGUCUCAUGGACCCUUGGUGUGGUUGCUGCUGGAGGUCAACCAUUGCCUGUAGAGUCCAAUUUGCAGUGUGUACAUGGCACUUCAUACAUCAGGUCUCUACAUUAUUACUACUAUGGUAGGUUACUCUUUCAAUAUUCUCUUUUGCAGAAACUUAUUUUCUUCAAAUCAGUGCUGUUACUGGACAGCUAUUUUCUAAAGUAGUCUGUAUUGUUCAUUAAUUGUCUUUGAGGCAAUGCUUGAAAUUAAAA
ensembl:lncRNA